AGAGUUUGAUUAUGGCUCAGGAUGAACGCUGGCGGCGUGCUUAACACAUGCAAGUCGAACGGAGUUAUCAAUGAAACCUAGUGAUUUGAUAACUUAGUGGCGGACGGGUGAGUAACGCGUGGGUAACCUGCCUUAUCCAGGGGGAUAACAGUGAGAAAUUACUGCUAAUACCGCAUAAGCGCACGGUAUCGCAUGAUACAGUGUGAAAAGAUUUAUCGGGAUAAGAUGGACCCGCGUCUGAUUAGCUGGUUGGUGAGGUAACGGCCCACCAAGGCGACGAUCAGUAGCCGGCCUGAGAGGGUGAACGGCCACAUUGGGACUGAGACACGGCCCAAACUCCUACGGGAGGCAGCAGUGGGGAAUAUUGCACAAUGGGGGAAACCCUGAUGCAGCCGACGCCGCGUGAGUGAAGAGGUAUUUCGGUAUGUAAAGCUCUAUCAGCAGGGAAGAAAAUGACGGUACCUGACUAAGAAGCCCCGGCUAACUACGUGCCAGCAGCUGC
rnacentral:rRNA from 1 species